rnacentral:lncRNA from 1 species
UCCGUGCUUCGAUUGCGACGGCUCGUUUCCUCCUUAUCUCAAGCUCUUCAAGAGUCGGUGUUCUUGGACCACCCGGUUUCUGGUGAUGCUGUUCCAACUUGUCUCAUUGGUUGCAUUUUCUGGUAUAUGCUCUGUCGCUAUUGUUAUCUUGCGCCUAUCCCAUUCGUCUCCCCAUACCCACGUCUGAUUGAGACUUCCGGUCUCCAUGUCCGCGAUUGCGAGG